GGGCCCGCACAAGCGGUGGAUUAUGUGGUUUAAUUCGAAGCAACGCGCAGAACCUUACCUAGGCUUGAAAUCCUGCGAACCCGACGUAAUUGUUGGGGUGCCCGCAAGGGAAUGCAGUGACAGGUGCUGCAUGGCUGUCGUCAGCUCGUGUUGUGAAAUGUUGGGUUAAGUCUCGCAACGAGCGCAACCCUCGUCCUAUGUUGCCAGCACGUAAUGGUGGGAACUCAUGGGAUACUGCCGGGGUCAACUCGGAGGAAGGUGGGGAUGACGUCAAAUCAUCAUGCCCCUUAUGUCUUGGGCUUCACGCAUGCUACAAUGGUCGGUACAGAGGGUUGCUAAGCCGCGAGGUGGAGCCAAUCCCAGAAAACCGAUCGUAGUCCGGAUCGUAGUCUGCAACUCGACUACGUG
rnacentral:rRNA from 1 species